rnacentral:rRNA from 1 species
AGAGGAUGAUCAUGGCUCAGAUUGAACGCUGGCGGCAUGCCUAACACAUGCAAGUCGAACGGAAACAGGACGCUGGGAUCUCUUCGGAGUGAACUUGUCGCUGUCGAGUGGCGGACGGGUGAGUAAUGCAUAGGAAUUUGCCUUGAAGUGGGGGAUAGCCCGGAGAAAUCCGGAUUAAUACCGCAUGCGCUCUACGGAGCAAAGUGGGCCUCUGAUUUAAGCUUGCGCUGUUGGAUGAGCCUACGUCGGAUUAGCUUGUUGGUGAGGUAAAAGCUCACCAAGGCGACGAUCCGUAGCUGGUUUGAGAGGAUGAUCAGCCACACUGGGACUGAGACACGGCCCAGACUCCUACGGGAGGCAGCAGUGGGGAAUAUUGGACAAUGGGCGCAAGCCUGAUCCAGCAAUGCCGCGUGUGUGAAGAAGGCCUGCGGGUUGUAAAGCACUUUUAUCGGGAAAGAAAAUCACAGGAUUAAUACCCCUGUGCCUUGACGGUACCCGAGGAAUAAGCACCGGCAAACUCCGGGCCAGCAGCCGCGGCAAUACGGAGGGUGCGAGCGUUAAUCGGAGUUACUGGGCGUAAAGCGCGCGUAGGCGGCCCGAUAAGUUGGAUGUGAAAGCCCUGGGCUCAACCUAGGAACUGCAUUCAAAACUGUAAGGCUAGAGUAUGGUAGAGGAUAGUGGAAUUUCCGGUGUAGCGGUGAAAUGCGUAGAGAUCGGAAGGAACAUCAGUGGCGAAGGCGGCUAUCUCGACCAAUACUGACGCUGAGGUGCGAAAGCGUGGGGAGCGAACAGGAUUAGAUACCCUGGUAGUCCACGCCGUAAACGAUGAGAACUAGAUGUCGGGAGGAUCUGCCUUUCGGUGUCGCAUCUAACGCGUUAAGUUCUCCGCCUGGGGAGUACGCCGGCAACGGUAAAACUCAAAGGAAUUGACGGGGACCCGCACAAGCGGUGGAGCAUGUGGUUUAAUUCGAUGCAACGCGAAGAACCUUACCUGCCCUUGACAUCCUCAGAACUUGUUAGAGAUAACUUGGUGCCUUCGGGAAUUGAGUGACAGGUGCUGCAUGGCUGUCGUCAGCUCGUGUCGUGAGAUGUUGGGUUAAGUCCCGCAACGAGCGCAACCCUUGUCCCUAGUUGCCAGCACGUAAAGGUGGGAACUCUAGGGAGACUGCCGGUGACAAACCGGAGGAAGGUGGGGAUGACGUCAAGUCAUCAUGACCCUUAUGGGUAGGGCUACACACGUGCUACAAUGGGCAGUACAGAGGGUUGCCAAGCCGCGAGGGGGAGCCAAUCCCAGAAAGCUGUUCGUAGUCCGGAUUGGAGUCUGCAACUCGACUCCAUGAAGUCGGAAUCGCUAGUAAUCGCGAAUCAGCAUUGUCGCGGUGAAUACGUUCCCGGGUCUUGUACACACCGCCCGUCACACCAUGGAAGUAGGUUGCACCAGAAGUAGGUAGUCUAACCCUCGGGAGGACGCUUACCACGGUGUGGCUUAUGACUGGGGUGAAGUCGUAACAAGGUAACC